AUUAAUGUUGAACAUACCUUGUUUCACCUCCUUGGUUGUAAAAGGUUUGAUCAGUUCUAUCUGUUGUUCAGUCGAGAGUGUAAUUCCAUUUUUCAAGAAGAUAUGAAAAGCUUUUAUUCUUCUUCUUUCUUUCCUUCCAAACAUUGCUUCAUAAUAGUCUACAAGAACAUUUGCUAUGCUUGUAUUGUCUAUUUGUAUUGUCCUGGUUUGAUACUUAAUCUGAGUGAUGGAUUGUUGCAAUCUAUUGCGUUUGAUAACUGAAUAGAAGUAUCUAGUGUUGUCAUCUCCUAGCUUGACUUACU
rnacentral:lncRNA from 1 species